GAUGAACGCUGGCGGCGUGCCUAAUACAUGCAAGUCGAGCGAACAGACGAGGAGCUUGCUCCUCUGACGUUAGCGGCGGACGGGUGAGUAACACGUGGAUAACCUACCUAUAAGACUGGGAUAACUUCGGGAAACCGGAGCUAAUACCGGAUAAUAUAUUUAACCGCAUGGUUCAAUAGUGAAAGACGGUUUUGCUGUCACUUAUAGAUUGAUCCGCGCCGCAUUAGCUAGUUGGUAAGGUAACGGCUUACCAAGGCAACGAUGCGUAGCCGACCUGAGAGGGUGAUCGGCCAAACUGGAACUGAGACACGGUCCAGACUCCUACGGGAGGCAGCAGUAGGGAAUCUUCCGCAAUGGGCGAAAGCCUGACGGAGCAACGCCGCGUGAGUGAUGAAGGUCUUCGGAUCGUAAAACUCUGUUAUUAGGGAAGAACAAAUGUGUAAGUAACUAUGCACGUCUUGACGGUACCUAAUCAGAAAGCCACGGCUAACUACGUG
rnacentral:rRNA from 1 species